rnacentral:lncRNA from 1 species
AACUAACAUUAAGUAGACAUGAAAAGUUAGCAAACUAUACAAAACACCUUCUUACCAAAUGCUUGUCGAUUCUUCAUCACUAUUAUAUAACUUGCAGUUUCCAGCAUUUUACGGAUAAAUUCUUUCUGGGUAACUUGGGCUUGAAAGGAUAAGAUAUUCUUUGUCACUAAUUACUGAAGAUUGCGAUAGAACAAAUGUUGGCGAGCAGGAUAUAGGGACGCGUCAAGAACAAACUCAGCAGCUCUCGCGGAUCUAGCGUGAUCGUUUGGGAGCCAACACGCGCCAAGGACGCCAAUGAAUUGGGGAUGAACUCCUCGGCCUCCUCCAGCCUUUCGGAUCGCGCCAGAAGAUCGACG